rnacentral:rRNA from 1 species
CCUACGGGUGGCAGCAGUGAGGAAUAUUGGUCAAUGGCCGGAAGGCUGAACCAGCCAAGCCGCGUGAAGGACGAAGGUGCCAAGCAUUGUAAACUUCUUUUGUCCAGGGACAAAAUCAGGCUCGAGAGCCUGUCCGCGGGUACUUGAAGAAAAAGCAUCGGCUAAUUCCGUGCCAGCAGCCGCGGUAAUACGGAGGCUGCGAGCGUUAUCCGGCUUUAUUGGGUUUAAAGGGUGCGUAGGCGGCCUGUUAAGCCAGCGGUAAAAGACCGGGGCUAAACCCCGGCGAGCCGUUGAAACGGGCGGUCUUGAGAUGUCGAGAGGUAUGCGGAAUGCGCAGUGUAGCGGUGAAAUGCUUAGAUAUUGCGCAGAACUCCGAUUGCGAAGGCAGCAUACCGGCGGCGAUCUGACGCUGAGGCACGAAAGCGUGGGUAUCGAACAGGAUUAGAUACCCGUGUAGUC